rnacentral:sRNA from 12 species
CAACCUGCCGAACCGAGCUUGACUGAAGCCAGCUUUUUGAGGGCUUGCUCAGCAACCGAAAGCAUACACAUCUCCGAUCUGGUUGCUCUUUUCG